rnacentral:rRNA from 1 species
AGAGUUUGAUCAUGGCUCAGGACGAACGCUGGCGGCGUGCUUAACACAUGCAAGUCGAACGGAAAGGCCCUUCGGGGUACUCGAGUGGCGAACGGGUGAGUAACACGUGGGUGAUCUGCCCUGCACUUCGGGAUAAGCCUGGGAAACUGGGUCUAAUACCGGAUAGGACUACGAAUCGCAUGGUUUGUGGUGGAAAGCUUUUGCGGUGUGGGAUGGGCCCGCGGCCUAUCAGCUUGUUGGUGGGGUGAUGGCCCACCAAGGCGACGACGGGUAGCCGGCCUGAGAGGGUGUCCGGCCACACUGGGACUGAGAUACGGCCCAGACUCCUACGGGAGGCAGCAGUGGGGAAUAUUGCACAAUGGGCGCAAGCCUGAUGCAGCGACGCCGCGUGAGGGAUGACGGCCUUCGGGUUGUAAACCUCUUUCAGUAUCGACGAAGCCUUUUCGGUGACGGUAGGUACAGAAGAAGCACGGCCAACUACGUGCCAGCAGCCGCGGUA